AUGGAUUUUUCGACUUAUAUUCUGAAUCCGGCAAGCUUUGUGUUGUUGCUGAUGAUGUUGCGCUUUGAGGUGAAUGAUAUUGAGCAGAUUGAUGAAGAAGGUUUUUGUGCAAAUUUGAAUCGAUUUUCUUCAACGUUUUUAGAUAUGCGAAAGAACGAAUACCAAAGGGGAGAUUUUGGUGUCGAUUAUAAGUACAAAUUGUUUCUGUUUCUCUUCUUCUUUCUGAGUAUGAUGUGUUUCUGGGAAGCUUGA